GAAAGAAAGAAAGAAAGAAAGAAAGAAAAAGCUGCCUUGCCUGUUCCAGCAUGAGAAGAUAACCCUUAUUAGCCAUGACUGAGAAGUGAUGCUGCAAUGGAUCCGAAUAAAUAAGCUUACUAAAAUAAUCCUCCUCUUUCACUAGCCUUACAGCCCUCCAUAUAUCUCUUAGUGAUUACCCUAGAAUUUACUGCCCCUAGCCCAGACCCAGUCUUGUCAUUUCUUCACAAAAUGUAUCAUUCUUUGCCUGAAAGGUAUAAAAGCUUUCUGCUUUGGCCAUUUCUUUGGGUCUUCCCUCUCUUGUGAGGAUCCCCAUGUAUAUGUAAAAUUAAUAAAACCUGUAUGCUUUUGUCCUAUUAAUCUAUCUUGUAUCAAUUUGGUUGAGAUGGAGCAGGGAACCCUUUUAGGGGCCUCCUGGGGACUUCCUUCAAACAUGGAAAUAAAGGAAAGUCUUGAGUACCUUCAAGGGAAAUUCCAGGCACCCAGCUAGCCUUGAGAAGUACAUGAGCAACCUGAUAAUCAAGAAGUUGUUUUUCAGAAACCUGGACCGCUACCCAAUGGAAAAUGUCAUCUGCUGGCACAUAGACCUCAGAUAAGGGAGCACUGAGGACUGAACCCUGAUCACCAUCCUGUGUCCUAAAUUUCUUCCUGAGGGUCCUGAAGGAAGUCCUGCCCACAGGCCAGAGCUCAACAUUUCUUCCUGCUGAUGCCAAGUUUUUAGACAAAGCUUUGCUUCCCUAACAAAUCACAAAUCAGAGAAUCUUUUUGAAUCCACCUAUGACCUGUGGGCCACCGCCACCCCGCACCCCAGUUUGAGAGGUCCUGCCUUUUUAGGUCAAAUUAAUAUAUAACCUCCAUGUACUGAUUUAUGAUUUUGCCUGGAACCUUUGACUUCCCAUCUUUUUUAAAAAAAUGUUAUUUAUUUAUUUAUUUUUUAAAUAGAGACACAUUCUUGCCAUGUUGCCCAGGCUGGUCUUGAACUCCUGGGGUCAGACAAUCCUCCCACCUCAGCCUCCCAAAGUUCUGGGAUUACAGGCAUGAGCCACUGUGCCCAGCGUGCCUCCCCAUCUUUAAAAACUCUUACCUAUAAGCCAUUAGGGAGUUCUGAUCUUAAGCAUAAGCUGCCAAUUCUCCUUGCUUGGUGCCCUGCAAUAAAUGCCUCAUUUUCUCCAGCUGCAAAUCCUGAUGUCAGUGUUUGGCUUUGCUGUGCCACCGAAGUUUGGUUCAGUAACAGCUCCUAGACCCAGCAGAAGAUUUUACUUAAAAACAAAGAUGGGCAAGUCACGGUGGCUCACGUCUGUAAUCCCAGCACUUUGGGAGGCCGUGGCAGGCAGAUCACUUGAAGUCAAGAGUUCGAGAGCAGCCUGGCCAACAUGGUAAAACCCUGUCUCCGCUAAAAAUACAAAAAUUAGCUGGGCGUAAUGGUGUGUGCCUGUAAUCCCAGCUACUCAGGAGGCUGAGGCAGGAGAAUUGCUUGAACCCGGGAGAUGGAGGAGAGCCGUGAGCCGAGAUCGCGCCACUGCACUCUAGCCUGGGCAACAGAGCCAGACCUCAUCUCAAAAAAACAAAACAAAACAAUCAACAAAAACAAAAAAUCAAAAACCCAAAACCCCAAAGAUGGGUAGAGGGGGUCUUUAGGCUCCCUUACAAUGCCAUUGCUUGAGCUCCUGGAUCAAGGUGUGCUUGAAGUUAAAAAUCUAUCCUUGGACCUUUCAGUUUCAUUUAAGUUCAUUGGAGUCAGGUUUUCUGUUUUUUGGUACUAAAAGAGCCCUGAUGGAUAAACGCCUUCUGUUCACAAUUGCCUAAGAUGACUCUCAGAGAUAGAGAGAGAUGUUUUGCUGUAAGGGUGUGCACACAUCAAUAGAUGAACUCCUUGCUCAAAUUAUCCAGUUUGGUUGUUAAGUUGCAGAAAUUCACAGGAUAAUUACCAAAUUUCCACUUUGUUUUGCUUUGGAUACUAGUCCUUGAUUAAAAAUAUUUUCUAUCUGUAUGUGUUUUUCUGCGGUUUUAAUACAUAGAAUUCAAUUGUAGGUACUCAUGGAGGACCAAUCGAUUCCUAUGUGUAAUAACAUGUUUCCUUCUGGAAUGUAACUUUCCUAGGCCAUUCACUGAGCCAACAAUGCUAAGAAUAAAUAUUCACAUAAGGAAUAUAUGCCUAAAAGCAUAGCGCUAACAAAGUCCUCCCUCCCUCAUAUGUCCAGUUUCUCCUUUAAUUGUAGCUUAUGUGCCAUUAUCUCAAGGAAAUGAUUAACCAACUUUAUCUUUAAUACCACAUCAGAGUCCUCUUUCCCUCAAAGCAUUCCAAACCAUGUUUUAUUUCCCUCUGACUAUACUGUAGGUAGCUGAAUGCCCUGGGUAAAGAAUUUUCUCAGCACGUGCUUGUUGAAUUCUGUUAAAUCUAUACACACUCACAAGCAGGGUAAAUGCUAUAAAGUAUUUUAAGGUUACAAAUCUAACUUAAUUAUAAAUCAUUAGCGCUGGAAGACACCAAGAGUCGUUAGCUGAACCCACCCUUACCGUAGAUCAAUCUCUCACUCUCUCAAGAAGAAAAAACAUAGAUGUAACUACAGCCCACUCUACUCCUUCCUUCUUCCUCCCUUUCUGCCCAGAGGUAAGCUCUAAGGUGAUGUUGGCAUAUAUCAAUCUGAUGUAUGUUUUUGUACUUUUAUGAUGUAUGUUAGUGCCUGAAAAUUUACAUAAAUUGAAUCAUAUUUAGUGUAUUUUCAGUGUGCUUUUUUUCACUCGAUGUUACAUUUUUUAGUUUACCCACAUGGAUCAACAUGGCUGUGCCCUAGGACACACCUGCACGUGAGCACACGGAACAAUGAAUACAGCCGUUCACUGCAGCACUGCUCAUAACAGGGAAGAAAUAGAAACCACUCAGUUUAGAGGAAUGAGUGAGCUAUUUGUUUCUAUAAUGGAAUGCCAAUCCACAGUUAAAACAAAUAACUUUUGUAUUUUACAGAAGAGGGGCGUGGUCCAGAGAAAUUCUGUGAAAUGACAAAUGUCACUCAGAUGGAUAAUGGGAAAUCUGAACCCAAAACCAGGACUCCUGAGUCUAAGCCUAGCGGUCUUUCUAAU
rnacentral:lncRNA from 1 species